rnacentral:rRNA from 1 species
AUUGAACGCUGGCGGCAUGCUUUACACAUGCAAGUCGAACGGUAACAGGUUAAGCUGACGAGUGGCGAACGGGUGAGUAAUGCAUCGGAACGUGCCCGAUCGUGGGGGAUAACGCAGCGAAAGCUGCGCUAAUACCGCAUACGAUCUGAGGAUGAAAGCGGGGGACCGUAAGGCCUCGCGCGAUCGGAGCGGCCGAUGUCAGAUUAGGUAGUUGGUGGGGUAAAGGCUCACCAAGCCAACGAUCUGUAGCGGGUCUGAGAGGACGACCAGCCAAAGUGGGACGGGAGCCCGCCCCAGACUCCUACGGGAGGCAGCAGGGGGGAAUGUUGGACAAUGGGCGAAAGCCUGAUCCAGCAAUGCCGCGUGCAGGAAGAAGGCCUUCGGGUUGUAAACUGCUUUUGUACGGAGCGAAAAGGCUCUCUCUAAUACAGGGGGCUCAUGACGGUACCGUAAGAAUAAGCACCGGCUAACUACGUGCCAGCCGCCGCCGUAA